AUGGCCUCGCCCAGUCUCCUUCAGACCUCGCCGCAGCCGCCGGCCAUGGCCUCGGCCCUCUCCCCUCCCCUCCUCCUCAUCAGAUCAGAAGAGAAGAGAAGAGAAGAGAAGAGAAGAGAAGAGGGAGGGGGAUCGAGCGAGCAGGAGGUCCCAGAUGAGAUACGCCGCCGGCCGGCCCCAUCCCCACAGCCGCGCCCGUGCACCUCUCCCCUCUCUCUCUUCCGAUUCGUUCCGCACCCCUCCGGCGACCUGUCUCCCCCAUCCCACCACACCCCUCCGUCGACCCUGCUCUCUCCCCCACCACACCCCUCACCUUCUCUGCCAGAUCGAGCAGGGCGGCCAUGGCUCUCCGGCCUCCCCCGUCUAGUUGCUGCUGUUCGAGCUCCUCUCAGCUCCCACCGACCACAUCAAGGGCAUCUGCCGUUGGGUCUCCGCGGAUCCACGGCGCCCCGAUGCAGGCGGCUCCCAACCCUAGCCGACUACAUCAAGGCUCAAAGGGGCUCCUCUUCACCGGCGCCGGCUUCAUCAGCAAGAAGAUGGCAGCCUCCUCCUCGGGUGUCAGGGCCGCUAACUCACCAAACCUCCGUCCCUCCUUCAAUUAUUUCCCAAUUUCUCUGUGUGUUGAAGCAGGGACGCCUCUUAGUGGAAAUGAAUCCAUUUUAA
rnacentral:rRNA from 1 species